GAUGAAGAACGCAGCGAAAUGCGAUACUUGGUGUGAAUUGCAGAAUCCCGUGAACCAUCGAGUCUUUGAACGCAAGUUGCGCCCGAAGCCAUUAGGCCGAGGGCACGUCUGCCUGGGCGUCACACAACGUUGCCCCCCCAAACCUCGACUUCCGAGAGGACGGGGGGCGGAUGCUGGCCUCCCGUGUGCCACGGCUCGCGGUUGGCCUAAAUGCGAGUACUCGGCGACGAGCGCCGCGGCAAUCGGUGGUUGUCUAACCCUCGGUGCCAUGCUGCGCGCGCGAUUCGCUCACUGUUACUCGACGACCCCAAUGCGUCGUAGCCACGACCCUCACAACGCGACCCCAGGUCAGGCGGGGCUACCCGCUGAGUUUAAGCAUAUCAAUAAGCGGAGGA
rnacentral:misc_RNA from 1 species